UAUUGCACAAUGGGGUAAACCCGGAUGCAGCGACGCGGCGUGAGCGAAGAAGGCANUCNNGUCGUNANGCUCAGUCCUAAGGGNNNNNACGGACGGUCCCUUCGGAGGAAGCCACGGCCAAUUACGUGCCAGCAGCCGCGGUAACACGUAGGGGGCGAGCGGUAUCCGGCAUUAUUGGGCGUAAAGGGUGCGUAGGCGGCCUUUUAAGUCAGAUGUGAAAGGCUACGGCUUAACCGUAGUUAGCAUUUGAAACUAAAAGGCUUGAGUGCAGGAGAGGAGAGUGGAAUUCCUAGUGUAGCGGUGGAAUGCGUAGAUAUUAGGAGGAACACCAGUGGCGAAGGCGACUCUCUGGACUGCAACUGACGCUGAGGCACGAAAGCGUGGGGAGCGAACAG
rnacentral:rRNA from 1 species